rnacentral:rRNA from 1 species
AUUGAACGCUGGCGGCAGGCCUAACACAUGCAAGUCGAGCGGAUGAAGGGAGCUUGCUCCUGGAUUCAGCGGCGGACGGGUGAGUAAUGCCUAGGAAUCUGCCUGGUAGUGGGGGAUAACGUCCGGAAACGGGCGCUAAUACCGCAUACGUCCUGAGGGAGAAAGUGGGGGAUCUUCGGACCUCACGCUAUCAGAUGAGCCUAGAUCGGAUUAGCUAGUUGGUGGGGUAAAGUCCUACCAAGGCGACGAUCCGUAACUGGUCUGAGAGGAUGAUCAGUCACACUGGAACUGAGACACGGUCCAGACUCCUACGGGAGGCAGCAGUGGGGAAUAUUGGACAAUGGGCGAAAGCCUGAUCCAGCCAUGCCGCGUGUGUGAAGAAGGUCUUCGGAUUGUAAAGCACUUUAAGUUGGGAGGAAGGGCAGUAAGUUAAUACCUUGCUGUUUUGACGUUACCAACAGAAUAAGCACCGGCUAACUUCGUG